rnacentral:sRNA from 1 species
CUUGGUCAUUUAGAGGAAGUAAAAGUCGUAACAAGGUUUCCGUAGGUGAACCUGCGGAAGGAUCAUUACCUUCACAGUCCGAAAGGACUGCUCGGGGGGGCUCUGCUAUGGUGGUUUACUGCUAUAGCAAGCUCCUGUCUGAACCCUCGUCUUUUGCGCACUCAUGUUUCCUCGGCGAGCUUGCUCGCCGGUUGGACAACCUUAUAACCUUUUUAAUUUUUAAUCAGCGUCUGAAAUAAUUAUAAUAAUUACAACUUUCAACAACGGAUCUCUUGGUUCUGGCAUCGAUGAAGAACGCAGCGAAAUGCGAUAAGUAGUGUGAAUUGCAGAAUUCAGUGAGUCAUCGAAUCUUUGAACGCACAUUGCGCCCCUUGGUAUUCCAUGGGGCAUGCCUGUUCGAGCGUCAUUUGUACCCUCAAGCUCUGCUUGGUGUUGGGUGUUUGUCUUGCCUUUGCGUAUGGACUCGCCUUAAAGCAAUUGGCAGCCAGUGUAUUGGUCUUGGGGCGCAGCACAAUUUGCGCUUUUAGCUAAUAGUCACUAGCGUCCAUAAGCCUUUUUUAUCACUUUUGACCUCGGAUCAGGUAGGGAUACCCGCUGAACUUAAGCAUAUCAAUAAGCGGAGGAAAAGAAACCAACAGGGAUUGCCCUAGUAACGGCGAGUGAAGCGGCAACAGCUCAAAUUUGAAAUCUGGCUCUUUUAGGGUCCGAGUUGUAAUUUGCAGAGGGCGCUUUGGCGUUGGCAGCGGUCCAAGUUCUUUGGAACAGGACGUCACAGAGGGUGAGAAUCCCGUACGUGGUCGCUAGCCUUCGCCGUGUAAAGCCCCUUCGACGAGUCGAGUUGUUUGGGAAU